AACGUAGGACGCGAGCGUUAUCCGGAGUACUGGGCGUAAAGCGCGGGCAGGCGGUCUGACAAGUCUGAUGUGAAAUCUCCGGGCUUAACCGGGAGAGGCCAUUGGAAACUGACAGGCUGGAGGGCAGUAGAGGUAGGCGGAAUUCCGGGUGGAGUGGUGAAAUGCGUAGAGAUCCGGAGGAACACCAGAGGCGAAGGCGGCCUACUGGGCUGCACCUGACGCUGAGCCGCGAAAGCCAGGGAGCGA
rnacentral:rRNA from 1 species